AGAGUUUGAUCCUGGCUCAGAACGAACGCUGGCGGCAUGCCUAACACAUGCAAGUCGAACGGGAUCCUAGCUUGCUAGGUGAGAGUGGCGGACGGGUGAGUAACACGUGGGAACCUGCCCUUGGGUUCGGAAUAACAGCGAGAAAUUGCUGCUAAUACCGGAUGAUGACGUAAGUCCAAAGAUUUAUCGCCCAAGGAUGAGCCCGCGUAGGAUUAGCUAGUUGGUGAGGUAAAGGCUCACCAAGGCGACGAUCCUUAGCUGGUCUGAGAGGAUGAUCAGCCACACUGGGACUGAGACACGGCCCAGACUCCUACGGGAGGCAGCAGUGGGGAAUAUUGGACAAUGGGCGAAAGCCUGAUCCAGCAAUGCCGCGUGAGUGAUGAAGGCCUUAGGGUUGUAAAGCUCUUUUACCCGGGAUGAUAAUGACAGUACCGGGAGAAUAAGCCCCGGCUAACUCCGUG
rnacentral:rRNA from 1 species